UACAGAGGUCCCAAGCGUUGUUCGGAUUCACUGGGCGUAAAGGGUGCGUAGGUGGUCGGGUAAGUCUGAUGUGAAAUCUCCGAGCUUAACUCGGAAAUGGCAUUGGAUACUAUUCGGCUGGAGGUUUGGAGGGGGGACUGGAAUUCUCGGUGUAGCAGUGAAAUGCGUAGAUAUCGUGAGGAACACCAGAGGCGAAGGCGGCUACCUGGACAAUUGCUGACGCUCAGGCACGAAAGCGUGGGGAGCAAAAGGG
rnacentral:rRNA from 1 species